rnacentral:rRNA from 1 species
UUGUUCUCUAAAUAGGGACUUGUAUGAAUGGCCACACGAGGGUUUAACUGUCUCUUACUCCCAAUCAGUGAAAUUGACCUUCCCGUGAAGAGGCGGGAAUACCACAAUAAGACGAGAAGACCCUAUGGAGCUUUAAUUAACUAACCCAAACUUAUGGAUACUAGAUACCUACAAGGCAUAACAUAACACCAUUAUUAUGAGUUAGCAAUUUAGGUUGGGGUGACCUCGGAAUAUGAAAAAACUCCCGAGUGAUUAAAAUUUAGACCCACAAGUCAAAAUACAACAUCACUUAUUGAUCCAAUAAUUUUUGAUCAACGGAACAAGUUACCCUAGGGAUAACAGCGCAAUCCUAUUCAAGAGUCCAUAUCGACAAUAGGGUUUACGACCUCGAUGUUGGAUCAGGACAUCCUAAUGGUGCAGCAGCUAUUAAGGGUUCGUUU